rnacentral:rRNA from 1 species
UUGAAAGGGAAACGAUUGAAGUCAGUCGUNCCAUAAANUAAUCANCCNUUCNGGUGNGAUUUUGUGGAGCGUGAGGAGUUAAACGCCUUCAUGCCUGCAUAUUCGUGCACUUUGGGUGUACUUGCCCGUGUGUAAGUUAACAUCAAUUUUGGUGGUCAUAAAAUGGCUAGAGGAAUGUAGCUUCGAUCUUGUAUUGAAGUGUUAUAGCCCUCGGUAGAUGUGACGAUCGGGAUUGAGGAUUGCAACGGAUACCCUUCGGGGCUACCUGUCUGAUCUCUGAUUGUUGCUCUGGUACCGAAAGCUUGCUUACGGUUAUCAAAGUCGAUGGUCAAUAGGUUAGAACGGGUUAAAUUCGUUAAGGAUGUUGACGUA